GCAUUUUCAGCGACCAAUCAGCGGCGCGGAAUCCACUCCGCAGUAAGCCAAUAGGGAGAAUGGGAGGCUCUAUCGAAUUUGAAUGAGGAGUGUAUCUUUCGGCGCCAUUUUCGAGUGAGCAGCGAUUGCCUCAGCAGCUGCGGAGAGAGGAUGCUGACGCUGAAGACGGAGAGAGAGAGAGAGAGAGAGAGAGAGAGGGAGAGAGAGGAGAAAACCCGGAGCGCUCAACAUUAAACAGCGGCUUUUUUUUAUAGAGAGAGAGAGAGAGAGAGAGGGGGGACUCGUUGUAUUCUCAAUGGAAACACAGGUGGGGAACCUCUUUGCCCUACAGGAGCCAACAGAAGUCUGCACAGGAUGCUGCUGACCUUAAGUGUAUAAAAGUCUGUGCCCAUUUGGUUGGACCAGAAGUCUGCAGGACAAGGAAAGUGCAAUUAAAAACAGGAGGAUAAGAAGAGCGGGAAGCAGAAGGACCCAUGGAUGCAGUUCUGGCAAUGCUGUAGCAGCACGGAAUGGUUUGUGGGUUACACUGAGAUGCAGGCCAUACUGUGCUGCCGCAAUAAAGCCUGAAAACACAACCUGGCUGUCCCAUCUGCACAGCUUUACCUGUUGCCUUUUUUUCACAGAUUGUAUACUUAACUAAGACUUUUGUAAUUCAUUCUCCUGAGUACUGCCAUCUUCAUUAUUGUUCUUCUGAUACUGAAAAACUUAGCGGAGUUCUCCUCUCAUCUGCUGGUCGCCUUACUGUAGCAGCACGUAAAUAUUGGAGUUAAGACUCUAGCUGAAGCCUCCAGUAUUGAUCGUGCUGCUGAAGCAAAGCUGACCACUCACAGUCAGAGCAAUCCAACCACUCUGUGAACUCCAGGGAUGCUUACAGGUACAUUGAUCACACAGAUUUAGGUAACCUCUAAGACGGUCUUGAUAUAAAAAUGUUAAUUUCUACACACAAUCCUCUUUACAUGUCUGCACACUUGAAAUAAAGAAAAGAAAAAUGAAUUG